CUCACUAUUUAUAUCUCAAACAGGAAACCAUCAAACGGAAAAGGAGUGUUGUGUUUACAGAAUUCCUUGCAACAUUGCAAAGAAGUUAAGGACUUGCCUACUGCACAUACUGAAAGUAUAGUUACAUAAUGGCAGAUGCCCGAGAUCGAACUCCUCGCACACGCUCAAGAGCAGAUCAGAAGACGUUUAAACCUUCCCCCAAACGAAAGAGUCCUACACUGUCUUCUCCAAAGCAAACGAAGCUAGCGGGAGAUGCUCGAGUGAACAUUGGAUCAGCGUUUGAACGUGGAGUGAAG